GAUGAACGCUAGCGGCAGGCUUAAUACAUGCAAGUCGGACGGCAUCACGGGUAGCAAUACCUGGUGGCGAGUGGCGCACGGGUGCGUAACGCGUAUGCAACCUACCCUUAACAGAGACAUAACCUGGCGAAAGCUGGGCUAAUAUCUCAUGAGGUUAUAGAUGGGCAUCCAUUUAUAAUCAAAGCAGUGAUGUGGUUAAGGAUGGGCAUGCGUCCCAUUAGCUAGUUGGUGAGGUAACGGCUCACCAAGGCGACGAUGGGUAGGGGUUCUGAGAGGAAGGUCCCCCACACUGGUACUGAGACACGGACCAGACUCCUACGGGAGGCAGCAGUAAGGAAUAUUGGGCAAUGGUCGGAAGACUGACCCAGCCAUGCCGCGUGCAGGAAGAAGGCCCUAUGGGUUGUAAACUGCUUUAGCCAGGGGCUAAACCUACCGAUGCGUUGGUAGCUGAAGGUACCUGGAGAAUAAGCAUCGGCUAACUCCGUGCCAGCAGCCGCGGUAAUACGGAGGAUGCGAGCGUUAUCCGGAUUUACUGGGUUUAAAGGGUGCGCAGGCGGUUGUUUAAGUCAGGGGUGAAAGCCCUAUGCUCAACAUAGGGAUUGCCUUUGAUACUGAACGGCUAGAGUGAAGAUGGAGUGGGUGGAAUGUGUUGUGUAGCGGUGAAAUGCAUAGAUAUAACACAGAACACCGAUCGCGAAGGCAGCUCACUAAUUUUCAACUGACGCUCAUGCACGAAAGCGUGGGGAUCAAACAGAUGAACGCUAGCGGCAGGCUUAAUACAUGCAAGUCGG
rnacentral:rRNA from 1 species